CCGGAUUUACUGGGCGUAAAGGGAGCGUAGGCGGAUUUUAAGUUAGAGGAUGUGAAAUACCCGAGCUUAACUUGGGAGCUGCAUUCCAAACUGGAUAUCUAGAGUGCAGGAGAGGAGAAUGGAAUUCCUAGUGUAGCGGUGAAAUGCGUAGAGAUUAGGAAGAACACCAGUGGCGAAGGCGAUUCUCUGGACUGUAACUGACGCUGAGGCUCGAAAGCGUGGGGAGC
rnacentral:rRNA from 1 species